rnacentral:rRNA from 1 species
GUAGGGAAUAUUGGUCAAUGGACGAAAGUCUGAACCAGCCAUUCCGCGUGCAGGAAGAAGAUUCUAUGGAUUGUAAACUGCUUUUAGCAGAGAAGAAACGCCUUCAUUGAUGAGGGUUUGACGGUAUCUGCGGAAUAAGCACCGGCUAACUCCGUGCCAGCAGCCGCGGUAAUACGGGGGGUGCAAGCGUUAUCCGGAAUCACUGGGUUUAAAGGGUGCGUAGGCGGGAAAUUAAGUCAGUGGUGAAAGUCUGUUGCUUAACGAUAGAAUUGCCGUUGAUACUGAUUUUCUUGAAUUGGGUUGAGGUUAGCGGAAUGUGACAUGUAGCGGUGAAAUGCAUAGAUAUGUCAUGGAACACCAAUUGCGAAGGCAGCUAGCUGGGCCUUGAUUGACGCUGAGGCACGAAAGCGUGGGUAGCGAACAGGAUUAGAAACCCCUGUAGUCC